rnacentral:rRNA from 1 species
AGCAAGCGUUGUUCGGAAUUACUGGGCGUAAAGAGUGUGUAGGCGGUGCUCUAAGUCUGUUGGGAAAUCUCCGGGCUUAACUCGGAAACUGCCGUUGAUACUAUCAGUCUUGAAUGUUGUGGAGGUAAGCGGAAUAUGUCAUGUAGCGGUGAAAUGCUUAGAUAUGACAUAGAACACCGAUAGCGAAGGCAGCUUGCUACACAAUAAUUGACACUGAGGCACGAAAGCGUGGGGAUCAAACAGG